GAUGAACGCUGGCGGCGUGCUUAACACAUGCAAGUCGAACGAUGACCAGGGUGCUUGCACCUUGUGAUUAGUGGCGAACGGGUGAGUAACACGUGAGUAACCUGCCCCUGACUCUGGGAUAAGCCCGGGAAACUGGGUCUAAUACUGGAUAUGACUGCUGGCCGCAUGGUCUGGUGGUGGAAAGAUUUUUUGGUUGGGGAUGGACUCGCGGCCUAUCAGCUUGUUGGUGAGGUAGUGGCUCACCAAGGCGACGACGGGUAGCCGGCCUGAGAGGGUGACCGGCCACACUGGGACUGAGACACGGCCCAGACUCCUACGGGAGGCAGCAGUGGGGAAUAUUGCACAAUGGGCGCAAGCCUGAUGCAGCGACGCCGCGUGAGGGAUGACGGCCUUCGGGUUGUAAACCUCUUUCAGUAGGGAAGAAGCCUUUCGGGGUGACGGUACCUGCAGAAGAAGCGCCGGCUAACUACGUGCCAGCAGCCGCGGUAAUACGUAGGGCGCAAGCGUUAUCCGGAUUUAUUGGGCGUAAAGAGCUCGUAGGCGGUUUGUCGCGUCUGCCGUGAAAGUCCGGGGCUUAACUCCGGAUCUGCGGUGGGUACGGGCAGACUAGAGUGCAGUAGGGGAGACUGGAAUUCCUGGUGUAGCGGUGAAAUGCGCAGAUAUCAGGAGGAACACCGAUGGCGAAGGCAGGUCUCUGGGCUGUAACUGACGCUGAGGAGCGAAAGCAUGGGGAGCGAACAGGAUUAGAUACCCUGGUAGUCCAUGCCGUAAACGUUGGGCACUAGGUGUGGGGGACAUUCCACGUUUUCCGCGCCGUAGCUAACGCAUUAAGUGCCCCGCCUGGGGAGUACGGCCGCAAGGCUAAAACUCAAAGGAAUUGACGGGGGCCCGCACAAGCGGCGGAGCAUGCGGAUUAAUUCGAUGCAACGCGAAGAACCUUACCAAGGCUUGACAUGGACUAGACCGGAUCAGAGAUGGUUCUUCCCUUUGGGGCUGGUUCACAGGUGGUGCAUGGUUGUCGUCAGCUCGUGUCGUGAGAUGUUGGGUUAAGUCCCGCAACGAGCGCAACCCUCGUUCCAUGUUGCCAGCACGUUGUGGUGGGGACUCAUGGGAGACUGCCGGGGUCAACUCGGAGGAAGGUGAGGACGACGUCAAAUCAUCAUGCCCCUUAUGUCUUGGGCUUCACGCAUGCUACAAUGGCCGGUACAAAGGGUUGCGAUACUGUGAGGUGGAGCUAAUCCCAAAAAGCCGGUCUCAGUUCGGAUUGGGGUCUGCAACUCGACCCCAUGAAGUCGGAGUCGCUAGUAAUCGCAGAUCAGCAACGCUGCGGUGAAUACGUUCCCGGGCCUUGUACACACCGC
rnacentral:rRNA from 1 species